rnacentral:rRNA from 1 species
UUCCGUGACCUCUACUCUUUUAACUUGGCAAUGUUGUCCAAGCAAUGUUGGAGGUUGAUCAAUGACCCGCAUUCUUUGGUUGCGAGAGUUCUCAAGGCAAAAUAUUACCCAAAUGGUUCCCUUAUUGAUGCUACACCAAAAAAUGGAUCGUCCUUCACAUGGCAGAGUAUUUUGAAGGGGUUGGAAACUUUCAAGAAAGGAUACAUUUGGAGGAUUGGGACUGGUGAACAUGUUAACAUAUGGACGGAUCCGUGGAUUCCCUCUAGUCCGGAUAGAAUGGUGAUAUCACCGAGGGGUCAAACGGUCCUAACCAAAGUUUGUGAAUUAAUAGAUAUGGCUAAUGGUACGUGGGAUGAGGCGCUAAUAAUAAGUUUAUUCAGUCCAGUGGAUGCCCGCAGAAUUAUUCAGAUUCCACUACACUUGCAUGGUUUUGAUGACUUUGUGGCAUGGCACCCGAACAGGACAGGUAUUUUCUCAGUAAAGAGU